rnacentral:miRNA from 7 species
CUUAUGAAGAGCAGCUGAGGGAGCUGGGAUUGUUCAGUCUGGAGAAGAGGAGGCUCAGAGGAGACCUCAUCACUCUCUAUAACUACCUGAAGGGAGGUUGUGAUGAGG